AAAAUAUUCAAAUUCAAAAUGCUUCAUCCACGAGCACAACACCAACAUCAACCACUUCUCCAACUUCAAAAACUAACACAGAAUCAACCAAUGCAGGAUCCACCACAUACACAAAAGAAUUUUGUGAAAAGGUUACA